CAGCAGUCGCCGCGGUAAUACGUAGGUGGCAAGCGUUGUCCGGAAUUAUUGGGCGUAAAGGGCUCGCAGGCGGUUUCUUAAGUCUGAUGUGAAAGCCCCCGGCUCAACCGGGGAGGGUCAUUGGAAACUGGGAAACUUGAGUGCAGAAGAGGAGAGUGGAAUUCCACGUGUAGCGGUGAAAUGCGUAGAGAUGUGGAGGAACACCGGUGGCGAAGGCGACUCUCUGGUCUGUAACUGACGCUGAGGAGCGAAAGCGUGGGGAGCGAACAGGAUUAGAUACCCCCGUAGUCCCUGUCUCUUAUAC
rnacentral:rRNA from 1 species